rnacentral:rRNA from 1 species
UACAGAGGGUGCAAGCGUUUAUUCGGAAUUAUUGGGCGUAAAGCGCACGUAGGUGGUCUUGUAAGUCUGGUGUGAAAUCCCUGAACUCAAUUCAGGAAGUGCAUUGGAUACUGCGAGACUAGAGAAUGGGAGAGGUGAGCGGAAUUCCUGGUGUAGAGGUGAAAUUCGUAGAUAUCAGGAGGAACACCGGUGGCGAAGGCGGGUCUCUGGGCCGAUACUGACGCUGAGGAGCGAAAGCGUGGGGAGCGAACAGG